UACGUAGGGUGCAAGCGUUAAUCGGAAUUACUGGGCGUAAAGCGUGCGCAGGCGGUUGUGCAAGCCAGAUGUGAAAUCCCCGGGCUCAACCUGGGAACUGCAUUUGUGACUGCACAGCUGGAGUGCGGCAGAGGGGGAUGGAAUUCCGCGUGUAGCAGUGAAAUGCGUAGAUAUGCGGAGGAACACCGAUGGCGAAGGCAAUCCCCUGGGCCUGCACUGACGCUCAUGCACGAAAGCGUGGGGAGCAAACAGG
rnacentral:rRNA from 1 species